rnacentral:rRNA from 1 species
GGAUGAAUAUUGGUCAAUGGGCGGGAGCCUGAACCAGCCAAGUCGCGUGAGGGAGGAAGGUCCUACGGAUUGUAAACCUCUUUAGCCGGGGAGCAACGUGCGCCACGUGUGGCGCAGUGAGAGUACCCGGAGAAUAAGCAUCGGCUAACUCCGUGCCAGCAGCCGCGGUAAUACGGAGGAUGCGAGCGUUAUCCGGAUUUAUUGGGUUUAAAGGGUGCGCAGGCGGCGCGAAAAGUCAGCGGUCAAAGUUCCGGGCUCAACCCGGUGACGCCGUUGAAACUUUCGGGCUGGAGUUCGUGCGAGGGAGGCGGAAUGCGUUGUGUAGCGGUGAAAUGCAUAGAUAUGACGCAG